CAUAUCCAAAAAAAGACUUGCUCAUCUUGUAAAUUUCAAUCUCCAAGAGUAUGGGUGCUACAGUAACUACUUUACUUCAAAUUUUCCUCUUCAUAGUUCUCAUAAUGUCUCCUUAUGAACUAGCUGUAUCAGGUGAGAAGAUAAGGAAGUUACAACCGACCUACGGGAGUGCGCCGCCUCUUGGCCGACGAUGUGGCUAUCGAAACCACUGCACCGGGACUCCACCCACGCCCCGACCUUGAAUAUUUAAGCCCAAACAAGAGAAUUUGGCAAUGUUUGAAUGACCAUUACAUUAUUAAAUAAUUUUCAAACAUUUUAUCCACGCUUUACUUGUGUUGAUGAUCAUAUCAAUAAAUGUCAUUUCUAUUU